AUUGAACGCUGGCGGCAGGCCUAACACAUGCAAGUCGAACGGUAACAGGAAGAAGCUUGCUUCUUUGCUGACGAGUGGCGGACGGGUGUGUAAUGUCUGGGAAACUGCCUUAUGGAGGGGGAUAACUACUGGAAACGGUAGCUAAUACCGCAUAACGUCUCAAGACCAAAGAUGGGGACCUUCAGGCCUCUUGCCAUCGGAUGUUCCCAGAUGGGAUUAGCUAGUAGGUGGGGUAACGGCUCACCUAGGCGACGAUCCCUAGCUGGUCUGAGAGGAUGACCAGCCACACUGGAACUGAGACACGGUCCAGACUCCUACGGGAGGCAGCAGUGGGGAAUAUUGCACAAUGGGCGCAAGCCUGAUGCAGCCAUGCCGCGUGUAUGAAGAAGGCCUUCGGGUUGUAAAGUACUUUCAGCGGGGAGGAAGGGAGUAAAGUUAAUACCUUUGCUCAUUGACGUUACCCGAAGAAGAAGCACCGGCUAACUCCGUG
rnacentral:rRNA from 1 species